AUGCCAAUCGUUUGCAACGCCACUUUUUCGAAUAUGUCAACGGUUGUGUCACUGCGAGAUACCUAAGUACAAAGCAAUAAAAACUGAGUAAAUGAAAACAAAAACGAAGCGGCAUAUUGUGUAUAAAGCUGUUGACAAACGUCCCUAGCAAACAGCGCAGCAUGGCGUCAACAGCAAACUUGGAAAUGCCAUUAAAAUUCAGGUUGUUGCUACCAUUGUGCGUUGGACCCCCCCACCCAUUGGAACCCAUUGAAGUUCACUUUAAACGCCAUGCACAGGAUGGGUCAAUAAAAAAUUCUUUGCACAGUA
rnacentral:sRNA from 1 species